rnacentral:rRNA from 1 species
UGGGGAAUUUUGGACAAUGGGCGCAAGCCUGAUCCAGCCAUGCCGCGUGCGGGAAGAAGGCCUUCGGGUUGUAAACCGCUUUUGUCAGGGAAGAAACGCUCUGGGCUAAUACCCUAGGGUAAUGACGGUACCUGAAGAAUAAGCACCGGCUAACUACGUGCCAGCAGCCGCGGUAAUACGUAGGGUGCAAGCGUUAAUCGGAAUUACUGGGCGUAAAGCGUGCGCAGGCGGUUAUGCAAGACAGAUGUGAAAUCCCCCGGCUUAACCUGGGAACUGCGUCUGAUACUGGAGGGCUUGAGUAUGGGAGAGGGAUGUAGAAUUCCAGGUGUAGCGGUGAAAUGCGUAGAUAUCUGGAGGAAUACCGGUGGCGAAGGCGGCAUCCUGGACCAUUACUGACGCUGAGGCGCGAAAGCUAGGGGAGCAAACGGGAUUAGAUACCCAAGUAGUCCCUGAGCGGGC